rnacentral:rRNA from 1 species
CGCAGUUAACACAAUAAGUAUCCCACCUGGGGAGUACGAUCGCAAGGUUGAAACUCAAAGGAAUUGACGGGGGCCCGCACAGGCGGUGGAGUAUGUGGUUUAAUUCGAAGCAACGCGAAGAACCUUACCAGGGCUUGACAUCCCGGCGGCCGGUGUAGAGAUACACCUUCUUCUUCGGAAGCGCCGGUGACAGGUGGUGCAUGGUUGUCGUCAGCUCGUGUCGUGAGAUGUUGGGUUAAGUCCCGCAACGAGCGCAACUCUUAUUGUUAGUUGCUACGCAAGAGCACUCUAGCGAGACUGCCGUUGACAAAACGGAGGAAGGUGGGGACGACGUCAAAUCAUCAUGCCCCUUAUGUCCUGGGCCACACACGUACUACAAUGGUGGUUAACAGAGGGAGGCAAUACCGCGAGGUGGAGCAAAUCCCUAAAAGCCAUCCCAGUUCGGAUCGUAGGCUGCAACCCGCCUGCGUGAAGUUGGAAUCGCUAGUAAUCGCGGAUCAGCAUGCCGCGGUGAAUACGUUCCCGGGCCUUGUACUCACCGCCCGUC